rnacentral:lncRNA from 1 species
UCAAGCAACCAAUAAAAGAGACAGCAGCUCACAGGAGUAUAACAACUAACUUAAUAUCCAGCAAGUGCAACAACAAUUCAGCAAGAACAAACACAUAAGGGAUCUCACACAUACAGUAGCAGAAUACUAACUAACACAUGACAAGUAUGAACUGAACAUAUUAUCAGUAGCAUAGAGUAGAUGAUGGAACUAUCUCAAACAUCACAGGCAGCAGAACAAUAUUACAAGUUGAACCACCUAGUUUUCUCACAAACACAUCAACAGUUAACUGAGAUUCAGAUUUCAAGCUGCAGAAUAUUCAGAACAAAAAUUCAAAAAACUACAGUAAGAGAAGAGAGAUUCAGGGUUGUCUCCUGCGCUGUAGAUGUUGUAGGCGAAGGAGAGCAGCAGGGACGAAGAUGAUCAGCGAAGCCAAGUUGGAGAGGAUCCAUAGCUCCGUUUCUUGAGGUUGAAGAUGAGGAAGUGCAGCAGGUUGGCGUCGUCGUUGGAGAGGAGCGGUGGAUUGGGCGCCUCCACCAAUCUCCCAACGCCCUCUUCUCCCUUUCUCUCCUUCGAUCUGGUUCCCCUGCUCGUUCCCCUCAAUCCCCUGCUUCGAUCUGGUGGUGGUUGAGUGGUGGAAGGCAGCAAGGAGUUGGAGAGCAGCAAGUCGGCGAUCAGGGGCAGCAGCCAGAUGGAACGGCCUCCGAUCUCGUCUUGUUCUUCCUUCCCUCGAUCCCCCUUUUCUUGCCUGAUUCAAUCUGGUGGUAGGUGAGUCUAGAAGGCAGCGAGGAGUUGGAGAGCAGCAAGUCGGCGAUCAGGGGCGGCAGCCAGAUGGAACUGCCUCCGAUCUCGUCUUGUUCUUCCUUCCCUCGAUCCCCCUUUUCUUGCCUAAUUCGAUCUGGUGGAAGGUGAGUCUAGAAGGCAGCGAGGAGUUGGGGAGAAAAAGGUAGUCGGGUUGAUGAUCUUCUUUCCUUCGACCCCUCAACUCCCCUUCUUUCUCGUGGCCUCGCGCGUGGGAUCAGUGGCCUCUCGCUGGUCGCGCCAGACCAGCCUCUUCUCACGGGCCCAAGCAGACAUCUGCUCUUCUUUGUCUGACUAGGUGCGUGGGUUCUUUUCAGCUCGCCCUUCUAGUUCUAACUCUUCGCACAAGAUGAUCCUACCUUGAAGGUUAUAAACACUUUCGAUGAAGUUUAGGUGCCUAAAUGCACCAGUCCUGCAAGAUAUGAAUAAGUGUUGUAAAAAUAUCAUAAUAAGAAUAUUUCAAUAAGAAUGAAUACUUUAUAAGUAAAAACUGUGGUCCAAGGUUUGAUUUGUUAUGCAAAAAGGCUUGAAAUACAAUAUGAAUGAAAGUGCUAUCAAUUUCCCCCACACCCAGAUUUUUGCUUGUCCUCAAGUAAAGAAAAAUGAUGCUGACACUACCCACACUGCCUAGUAAAGAUGCACUAUUGGAUAGAUAGUAAUUCCGACAAUACUAGAAGUAGGCAACUGUACUCUACUCAUGCUAAAUUGUGAUAAGCAAUAAUUUAUAACACACUGUAAAUGUUCCAUGUCAAUGGCCUUGAGUCAAAGUGCAUCCUAAUAAUCAAGAGCUGGCUCUGUCUUCAGCCCUGAGCUAAGCUGGGACCCCAAAAUCAAUUAGAAAAACAAGUUACUUAUUGAAUUUAAAUCACAAAUGAUAAAAUUAUAUCAGUCUCACCAAAGGAACAUACCACCGAUCCCGAGAACAUGGUAUACACCUGGCUCGACCAAAUUAUUAGUAUAUAUUUUUAUUAUGUCCCCAAAGGAACAUACCACCGAUCCCGAGAACAUGGUAUACACCUGGUUCGACAAAUUAUUAGUAUAUAUUUUUUGUUAUUAUCUCCCCGAAGGAACAUACCACCGAUCCCGAGAACAUGGUAUACACCUGGUUCGACAAAUUAUAGCACUUUUUAUAUAAUUUUUUUUACAGUCCAAUCUACCAGAUUUCACAAGCCACCGAUCCAGGGAACAUGACAUGCUACUGUAGGUCGAUCAGACUUAAAUUAUUAUAAUUAUUUUAUUUAGUUAUUUGAAAAUUACUUAGCUUAAGUAAAACAGGAAUAAUUGAAAGAGGAAUCCAUAGCUAAUGGCACUGUUUUUCACAGACUACAGAUCCAGAGAUCAUAGCUACUACUUAAGUGCCACCAGUUACUUAGCUUAACUUGGGACAGUCAGACACAGCACAUCAAUUCAUUAGAAGGUUUCACUUAGACUCAAGGCAUUCCCAUUGAACAUUUACAUGGAGGUAUAAAGUAUUCAUUAUCACAAAUUACCAUAAGAAUAAUACAGCUGCAUAGUUUUAGUAUUAAGAGAAUCAACAAUCUUCUUGGAGUAAAUCCUACUUUGCAGUGAAGAGUAAGGUGUCACCAUGCAAAAAGAGUUUCAAUGCAAUUAAAUGCCAGUUCUCAUACUAAAUUUUCUAAAGGUUGCUUCAAGUGGAACAGAAUCACCUGGUAUUUGUAAACUCUUCUCUCCUACUUUCUUCUCUCCACUCUUCUCUGUUUGUGUUCCCUGUUUGUGCUCCCCUCGCCUUUAUUUGCUGAAAAAGAAAGACAUAAACACAAAAAAAAUUCUAUGAAAACUAAAUAAGGAAAAUAACUUAUUAAAGAUUCAGGUUGCCCCCUGAAAAGCGCUUGUUUUAGGUCUUUAGCUCGACCAUGUCUCGUCAGUGAGGUCAGGGUCCUGCAGGGAUUGACACCUCUUGGGUCCCCUCGCCUUCUUGAAUUUCCUCCUCUGGGUCUUGAUCUUCGCUUGCAUUCUCAUCUUCAGAAAUAAGAAGUGGAUCUCCAGGGAUGUAGGGCUUCAGUCUUUGACCGUUUACAAGGAAGAGACCUCCAGAAGUACUUUGCACUUGAAUAGCACCAUUUUGCAGAAUCUUCUUCACCUUGCAAGGGCCAUACCAUCUUGACUUGAAUUUACCAGGAAAUAAAUGAAACCUAGUAUCAUAGACCAAUACCAACUGUCCAAGAUGAAAUUCUUUCCUCAGUAUAUGCUUGUCAUGCCAGAUCUUAGUCUUUUCUUUGUAAAUUCUUGCACUCUCGUAAGAGUCAGCUCUCAGUUCUUCCAUUUCACAGAGUUGAAGUUUUCUGUAUUUUCCUGCUGCAUCAAGGUCCAUAUUGAGUUUCCUUAGUGCCCAUUGAGCUUUGUGUUAAAGUUCAACGGGUAGAUGGCAUGCUUUUCCAUAUAUUAACCUGAAUGGUGACAUUCCAAUUGGUGUUUUAUAGGCUGUCCUAUAUGCCCAUAGUGUGUCUGGUAAUUUCUGUACCCAGUCAGACCUUGACUUUGAUACUACCUUCUCGAGAAUGGCCUUUAUUUCUCUAUUAGACAACUCCACUUGUCCAUUUGCUUGCGGGUGAUAUGGAGUUGUAAUUCUGUGAUUAUGAACUCCAUAUUUUGCUAAGAGAGAUUCUAGUUGGGAGUUGUUGAAAUGUGUUCCUCCAUCACUGAUAACAAUCUGUGGCACACCAAAUCUUGGAAAGAUCACUUGCUUGAACAAAUUGCAAACUGACUUGGAAUCAACAUUGACGGUUGGUACAGCCUCAACCCAUUUUGACACAUAGUCCACUGCCACCAAUAUGUAUUUGUACCCUUUUGAUGAUGGCAAGGGUCCAACAUAAUCAAUUCCCCAUACAUCAAAGAGCUCUACUUCAAGAAUUCCUUUUUGAGGCAUCUCUUGCCUUUUUGAAAUGUUUCCAGUUCUCUGACAAGGAUCACAAGCUUCAAUAUAGGAAUGUACAUCCUUGAAUAAAGUUGGCCAGUAAAAUCCCGCUUGCAAAAUUUUCGCUUGAGUCUUCCUAGUACUUGCAUGACCUCCAUAAGGGGAUGAAUGGCAAUGAUAGAUCACACUUUUAGUUUCACCUUCCGGCAAGCAUCUUCGAACAAUACCAUCAGCACAAUGUUUGAAUAAGUAAGGUUCAUCCCAAAAGAAGUGCUUCAUAUCUGAUAAGAAUUUCUUCUUCUUUUGACACCCAAAAUCUGUAGGGACUUUGUUACAGAUCAGAUAAUUAACUAUAUCUGCAUACCAUGGUGUAUAGUUUUGUAUACUAGUCACUUGCAUAAGAUUGCUCCCUGGUAAAACAUCAUUGAUAGGUAAGGAGUCUACUGCAUUGUUUUGCAACCUCGACAAGUGAUCUGCCACAACAUUUUCAGCUCCUUUCUUGUCCUUGAUUUCCACAUCAAAUUCUUGAAGCAAGAGUAUCCAUCUAAUUAACCUUGGCUUGGCUUCUUUCUUGUUGAGUAGAUAUCUAAUUGCAGCGUGGUCUGUGUAAACUACACAAUGAGACCCUACAAGAUAUUGCCUAAAUUUGUCAAAGGCAUACACUACUGCCAACAACUCCUUUUCUGUGGUUGUGUAAUUAGCUUGAGCACCAUCAAGAGUUUUGCUAGCAUAGUAUAUUACAUGCAAAUCUUUUCCUUUUCUUUGUCCCAGUACUGCAUCCACAGCAAAGUCACUUGCAUCACACAUUAUCUCAAAUGGUAAUUCCCAGUCAGGGGGUUGCACUACUGGAGCAGUGACCAAUGCUUCCUUGAGCAAGUUGAAGGAUUUUUCACAUUCUGCAUCAAAAUUGAACUUAACAUCAUUGUUUAGGAGAUUAGUGAGGGGUUUGGCUAUGUUGGAGAAAUCCUUUAUGAAUCUUCUAUAGAACCCAGCAUGUCCCAAAAAGCUCCUUACUCCCUUCACAUUUACAGGUGGUGGAAGUUUUGAUAUUACUUCAACUUUUGCUUGAUCAACCUCAAUUCCUCUUUCAGAUACCAAAUGUCCCAAAAUAAUUCCUUCCUUUACAAGAAACUGACACUUCUCCCAGUUUAAGACUAGAUUGUGUUCUGAACACCUCUGAAGAACUGCUGCCAAAUUAUUCAAGCAAUCCUCAUAACUUUUUCCAACGACUGUAAUAUCAUCUAUGAACACCUCCACUUUGCUUCCUAUCAUAUUAGAGAAUAUAGAGAGCAUAAACCUUUGAAAUGUUGGGGGUGCAUUACAAAGUCCAUAAGCUAGUCUUUUGUAAGAAAAUGUUCCGUAUGGGCAAGUGAAAGUUGUUUUAUCUUGAUCAUCCGGAUGAAUUGGGAUUUGCAAGAAUCCUGAAUACCCAUCUAAGCAGCAGAAAUAUUCAUGCCCACCAAGCCUUUCCAGCAUUUGGUCAAUGAAAGGUAAAGGAAAAUGGUCCUUCCUCGUUACUUCAUUUAACUUUCUGAAAUCAUUGACCAUUCUCCACCCUGUGACAGUCCUACUAGGAAUCGUUUGCCCUUGUUCAUUUUCAAUGACGGUUAUUCCUCCUUUCUUGGGAACCAUGUGAAUGGGACUCACCCACUCGCUGUCCGAAAUUGGGUAUAUGAUAUCAGCAGAGAGCAAUUUAAGAAUCUCCUUUUUAACAACCUCUUGCAAAUGGGGAUUCAACCUUCUUUGACUUUCUCUAAUUGGUACACUGCUUUCUUUCAAGUAAAUCCUAUGAGAGCAGACAGCAGGAUUUAUCCCUUUCAUAUCAUCAAUUGAAUAUCCAAUAACAUCCUUGUACUUUUGCAAAACUGCUUGAAGCCCUUUUAUUUGCCUUUCCGUCAACUCCCUAUUCACGAUAAUUGGCCACUGAUUGUCAUUAUCUAAGAAUGCAUAUUUCAAACUUUCUGGAAGUUGUUUCAUUUCUAUUUGCCUUGGUUGCAUCUUCUCUAGUGGCCUUGUACUGCUUUCCAAUAUGCUAACAGGUCUGAUUUCUUCAUAUCUGAUUUCACUAUUGUCCUCCUCAACUACUUCACAACAAUUACUUCCAUACCUCUCUUCAUAGCCUUCUUCCACACAUUUCUGUAGUGUAUCAAUUCUGUAGCAGUGCUUUUCUUCUUGCGGAACAUGUGUUGCAUGCUUCAUGUCAAACUCCACCUUUUCAUUUCCAAACCUCAGGCUCAAUUUAGCUUCUUGGACAUCAAUAAGUGCACCAGCUGUGGCCAAAAAUGGUCUUCCAAGGAUCACAGCCUCACUUUUGUCCUCCAUAUCUAACACUACAAAGUCAACCGGAUAAGCAAACUUCCCAACUUUGAUUGGAACAUCCUCAAGAAUCCCAACAGGUUUCCUAUAUGUUCUGUCGGCUAACUGAAGGGUUAUGGCUGUUGGAUUUAAUUCUCCCAAGAACAUCCUUUUGCUAACUGAAUGUGGUAACACACUUACACUUGAGCCCAAGUCACACAGAGCACUGUAAGUUUUGUUUCCAAUCACACAUGGUACACAAAAGCUUCCUGGAUCAUCCAAUUUUUCAGGCAUGGAAUUCUGAAUUAUUGCACUGCAUUCCUUUGAUAGAGUCACUACUUCUGGCUCAGACAUGCUUCUUUUCUUUGUUAGCAAUUCCUUGAAGUAUUUGGCAUACAUUGGAACAUGCAAGACAUCUUCAAGAAUAGGAAUAGUAAUCUGAACUCCCUUCAUAGUUUCCAAGAAUUUGGCAAAUUGCUUGUCAUCUUUGGGUUUGUUGAACUGCUCAGGAAAAGGAAUGUUGUUGGUUGUUAUUGCUUCCUCUAGCAAAGUCUAAGCUCUUGUUUGAAAACCAGGAAAUUCGAAUUCAGUUUCAAUUCGGUUAUCAACUUCUUUCUCCUUUAGUUUCUCUGAUGAUGUUGAAGGUGGAGUUCCGGAUGAACUUGGCCUCAUAGCAGGAGGGACAUAUGUCUUCGGAGUAGGAAGUAAUGGUCCGGACAUAACUCCACUCCUUGUAGUCACUGCAUCAACUGAAGAUAUUGCCCCACAGUGAGCUUUCAGAUUUGGAAUUGGUUGCGCAGGCAGCCUUGCUUCAUUUUCUCCCACCAUACUAUCCAUUUUGCUCACAAGCAUCUUAACAGUAUCCUUUAAGCCAUUAACUUCAUUUGUCAUCUUGCUCAUCAAUUCCAACUGCAUUUUCAUGAUUUCCUCCAUUCCAUUUGACUGAACAUUUUGUUGUUCAUUCUGUCUUGGCACUUGAAAUUGACUUGGAUGAUUUGGUGGUGGAUUUCCUUGUAUUGUCGAUCCACUUGCAUAUGACUGAUUGUUCUUGUACGACAAGUUUGGAUGGUUCCUCCAAGAAGGAUUGUAGCUGUUUGAGAAUGGACCUUGACUUUGGGCAUGACUUACUUCUGAAACCGAUGAUCCAAUUGCUGAAUAGAAGGUGCAUUCUAUUGAAGGAUGACCUGCUUGGCCACAUACAUCACACAUUUGAGGCACACUUACUGAAGCUACGGAAGUACCGAAGCAAUUUGACAUGAUACUAUCCAUCUUCUUGUUCAAGAUGUCAAUCUGAGCCGCCAUGCUAUCAUUUGCAGACACAUUAUACACACCAGGAUGUGGUGGUGCUAUUGAUCUUUCACUUGACCAUUGGAAAUGAUGAAACGCCAUGCUUUCAAUCAAUGCAAAUGCUUCAUCAAGAGUUUUGUUCAUAAUUCCUCCUCCUGCAGCAGAAUCAACAAAGGCUCUGGUCUGAGUGGACAGCCCUUUGUAAAAGGUUUGUAACACUAGCCAUCUUUCUAAACCAUGAUGAGGACACAUUCUGAUUAAAGAGUUGAAUCUUUGCCAUGCAUCAUACAAAGUCUCUCCAUCAUAUUGAGUAAACCUUAUUAACUUGUCCCUAUAUUCAGCAGCUUUUGUCGGUGGAAAGUAUCUCUCAAGAAAUGUCUGCAAUAAAGUCUCCCAAGUAUCCUUCAGAUGUUCAGGCAAGGAGUGAAGCCAUACUCUUGCUCCAUCUCUCAAGGAAAAUGGGAAUAGUGAUAAUCUAAUAGCACUCGGAGAAACUCCAUUUUCCUUGAGGGUGUUACAAUACUCCAAGAAAGUCCUGAUAUGCUCAUGGGGGUCUUCUAAAGCUGUUCCACCAAAUCUGGACUGUUGCACCAUGUUAAUCAGAGCAGGCUUCAAUUCAAAAUUAUUCGCCUGAAUAAUCGGUUGCACUAUUUCUCCUGGUAUCCCAUGAUCUCUUGGGAUCCACAAGUCCCUGAGCAAAGGUACUGGAUCAGACAUCUUUUCUUCUUCUUGAUCUUGCAAUGUUUCAGCAACUUGAAACCGUAUUUGAUUCUCUCUUCUUCUUCUUCUCAAUAAGGUCCUUUCAAUUUCUGGAUCAAACGACUCUAGUGAAUAUUCAGGUUGAAGCAUAAGACAAUUUCCUGUAAAAGUUCCUGAAAUUGACACAUGCUAGUUUCUCUCAAAACUGCAGCCAAUGUGAGGAAAUUGUUAGUUGCCAGCAAUACUACAUAAUCGACCUAAAAUAAAUUCUGAUCUGCUUCUACUAAUGUGCUAAUGAAAUUUAAAUCCCCGGUAACGGCGUCAAAUUGAUCGUAUGUAAUAUAGCAGGGUUUUUACGCCCAAACUACGGAUGUCGUGUUCUCCACAGGGAUCUAGAACUUCGAAGCACACCCUCGAAACAUUCAGAACAACCAGACAGAUGAAUCAAACAGUAAUGACAAGAAGAAAUUACUAGAGAAAGGUAAAACAAAAACUCAAGCAACCAAUAAAAGAGACAGUAGCUCACAGGAGUAUAACAACUAACUUAAUAUCCAGCAAGUGCAACAACAAUUCAGCAAGAACAAACACAUAAGGGAUCUCACACAUACAGUAGCAGAAUACUAACAAACACAUGACAAGUAUGAACUGAACAUAUUAUCAGUAGCAUAGAGUAGAUGAUGGAACUAUCUCAAACAUCACAGGCAGCAGAAGAAUAUUACAAGUUGAACCACCUAGUUUUCUCACGAACACAUCAAUAGUUAACUAAGAUUCAGAUUUCAAGCUGCAGAAUAUUCAGAACAAAAAUUCAAAAAACUACAGUAAGAGAAGAGAGAUUCAGGGUUGUCAACUGCGCUGUAGAUGUUGUAGGCGCAGGAGAGUAGCAGGGACAAAGACGAUCAGCGAAGCCAAGUUGGAGAGGAUCCACAGCUCCGUUUCUUGAGGUUGAAGACGAGGAAGUGCAGCAGGUUGGCGUCGUCGCUGGAGAGGAGCGGUGGAUCGGGCGCCUCCACCAAUCUCCCGGCGCCCUCUUCUCCCUUUCUCUCCUUCGAUCUGGUUCCCCUGCUCGUUCCCCUCAAUCCCCUGCUUCGAUCUUGUGGUGGUUGAGUGGUGGAAGGCAGCGAGGAGUUGGAAAGCAGCAAGUCGGCGAUCAGGGGCGGCAGCCAGAUGGAACGGCCUCCGAUCUCGUCUUGUUCUUCCUUCCCUCGAUCCCCCUUUUCUUGCCUGAUUCGAUCUGGUGGUAGGUGAGUCUGGAAGGCAGCGAGGAGUUGGAGAGCAGCAAGUCGGCGAUCAGGGGCGGCAGCCAGAUGGAACGGCAUCCGAUCUCAUCUUCUUCUUCCUUCCCUCGAUCCCCCUUUUCUUGCCUGAUUCGAUCUGGUGGUAGGUGAGUCUGGAAGGCAGCGAGGAGUUGGGGAGAAAAAGGCAGUCGGGUUGAUGAUCUUCUUUCCUUCGACCCCCUCAACUCCCCUUCUUUCUCGUGGCCUCACGCGUGGGAUCAGUGGCCUCUCGCUGGUCGCACCAGACCAGCCUCUUCUCACGCACCCAAGCAGACAUCUGCUCUUCUUUGUCUGACUAGGUGUGUGGGUUCUUUUCAGCUCACCGUUCUAGUUCUAACUCUUCGCACAAGAUGAUCCCCAGCUUGAAGGUUAUAAACACUUUCGAUGAAGUUUAGGUGCCUAAAUGCACCAGUCCUGCAAGAUAUGAAUAAGUGUUGUAAAAAUAUCAUAAUAAGAAUAUUUCAAUAAGAAUGAAUACUUUAUAAGUAAAAACUGUGGUCCAAGGUUUGAUUUGUUAUGCAAAAAGGCUUGAAAUACAAUAUGAAUGAAAGUGCUAUCAAUUUCCCCCACACCCAGAUUUUUGCUUGUCCUCAAGUAAAUAAAAAUGAUGCUGGCACUACCCACACUGCCUAGUAAAGAUGCACUAUUGGAUAGAUAGUAAUUCCGACAAUACUAGAAGUAGGCAAUUGUACUCUACUCAUGCUAAAUUGUGAUAAGCAAUAAUUUAUAACACACUGUAAUUCAGAGGAGAUUCAAAUAUUUCUCAUAAAUAAACUUGAUCAUAAACCCAGAAUUCAUCGGAUCUCGACAAACACACCGCAAAAAGAGUUUACAUCGAAUAGAUCUCUACAAGAGAGGGGGAGAACAUUGUAUUGAGAUCAAAAAAGAGAGAAGAAGCCAUCUAGCUAAUAACUAUGGACCCGAAGGUCUGUGGUAAACUACUCACAACUCAUCGAAGGGGCUAUGGUGUUGAUGUAGAAGCCCUCCAUGGUCGAUUCCCCCUCUGGUGGAGCGCCGACGAAGGCUCCAAGAUGGGAUCUCACGGAUAGAAAAGGUUACGGUGGUGGAAAUUGUGUUUCAUUGGCUCCCUGGAUGUUUUCAGGGUACGUAGGCUUAUAUAGGAGGAAGAAGUAUGUCGGUGGCCGCCCGAGGGGCCCACGAGAUAGGGGGGCACGCCGAGAGGGGGUGGGCGCGCCCUCCUAUCUCGUGGCCGCCUCGGCUGCUUCUUGACUUGGACUCCAAUUCCUUUGGAUCACGUUCGUUCCAAAAAUCACGCCCCCGAAGGUUUCAUUCCAUUUGGACUCCGUUUGAUAUUCCUUUACUUCGAAAUACUGAAAUAGGAAAAAAAACAGCAAUACGGGCUGGGCCUCCGGUUAGUAGGUUAGUCCCAAAAAUGAUAUAAAUGUGUAAAAUAAAGCCCAUAAACAUCCAAAAGGGGUAAUAUAAUUGCAUGGAACAAUCAAAAAUUAUAGAUACGUUGGAGACGUAUCACAUAUGUCUAUUAACCAUGUUCGUACAUCAAACUAAUGCUCUUUUGUAUCCCUCGUCAAUCACUUAUGAUGAGGCAGUCACCCCAGUGGGUUACUGUGAGACGCCCUACUCAUACUCAUUUAAAGAGUGCAGUUUCAUCUUCCUUAGAUGAUUCUCAAGAAACGGCAAGGCUAAAUGAAGAUAGUUAACGUAGCUCUCUAGUUGAUGACCACAAUUCCCCCACACCACCAUUGCAGGUGCUUGCUCUUACUUGGCAGUGUGAUAUGUGGUUGCAUGUUGCAUAUGGUGUCUACCUUGUAAUGCUUCUAAUUAGGUUAAAUUGCAUCUUCUUAGUUAACACAUUAUACCUGUUAAUAUGACAUGCCUUACUGUUUUUGGUACAUACUACGUCUUUCUAUUAACCAUGUUCUUACAUCAAACUACUUUUCUUGUGUAUCCCUCAUCAAUCACUUCUGACGAUCCACCUUCAAGUUGACAGUGUAAUAUUGGUUGCAUCUUGCAUAUCAUUUCAAACAUGUAUUGCCUCUAAUUUGUUGAAGUGCCACUUGUAAUGAGACACAUCUAACUUGGUAGAGUGAUUUUGGUUGGAUCUUUCAUAUGGUGUCAAGAUUGCAUUGCGUCCAAUUUGUUGAAAUGACUUCUGCUUAGCGUUUUUCAUACAUAUUCCAUCCUCCUACAAUGUGGUUGCCAUACAUAAAAGUUGUGUUCGUCAGUAUCAUGCAUCAACGAAUUUGGAAGUGCGAAUUUCAUUCCUUUUUCUUGUGUGUUUACUUGACAAGGGAAAAUCUGAAAGGAUGAAGGCACAGAAUGAUGGUGGUCCUCUGGAGCAACCGAAACAGAUGAUCUCUGCAGAUUCUCCUACUACUUGUACUGCAGUGCUAGUUCCAAAUCUCAUCUCCCCUACUCCACAACCCAAGGUGCUUGCUCUAACAUGGCAGUGUGAUAUCUGGUUGCAUGUUGCAUAUGGUGCCUAGCUUGUAUUGCUCCUAAUUUGUUAAAUUGCAUCUCCUUAGCUUACACAUUAUACAUGUGAAUAUGACAUGUCUUCCUGUUUUUGGUACAUACUACAUCUGCCUAUCACACCAUCUUCUUACAUCAAACUAUUGUUCUUGUGUAUCCUGCAUGUAUCGCUUAUGAUGAGACAGUCACGCCUGUGGGUUUAUAUGAGACGCGCUACUCUUAUAAAGAAUGCAAUUUCAUGCUCUCCACAUGAUUCUCAAGAAACAACAAGCCUAAAUGAAGAUAUUGAACGUAGCUCUGUACUUGAAGACCGCACUUCCCCUACACCACCAUCACAGGUGCUUGCUCUAACUUCGCAGUGUGAUAUGUGGUUGCAUGUUGCAUACGGUGUCUAGCUUGUAAUGCUUCUAAUUAGGGUAAAUUGCAUCUGCUUAGUUUACACAUUAUACCUGUGAAUAUGACAUGCCUUCCUAUUUUAGGUACACACUACAUCUAUGUGUUAACCUUGUUCUUACAUGAAACUACCUCUCUUCUGUAUCCUGCAUCAAUCACUUACAAUGAGUCACCUUUAUUCAGUGCAUAUUGCAUAUUAUUUCUAGCUUGUUGCCAUGUAUUGCUUAUAAUUUGGUCAAAUACAUUUGUUAGGGCACCCUUUUAAUUUGGCAGAGUGAUAUUGGUUUCAUCUUUCAUAUGGUUCCUAGCUUGCAUUGAUCCUAACAAGUUCAAGCACCUUGUGCUUAGUUUACACUUUAUACAUCAUACAUGUCAAUAUGUCACGCCGUCCUGUUUUUCAUACAUAUUCCAUCCUCCUAUCAUGUGGCUGCCUUACAUGAAAGUAGUGUUCGUCAGUAUCAUGCAUCAAUGAGUUUUGAAGAGCAAAUUUUAUUCCUUUUUCUUGUGGGUUUGACAUGACAAGGCAAAAUCAAGAAAGAGGAAGGGAAAGAGUAAGGAAGGCGAUGAUGGUGGUCCUAUGCAGCAACGUAAACAGAGCAUCUGUACCAAUUCUCCUUGUGCCGAUAGUGCAUUACAAGGUCCAAGUCUCCGCUCCCCUACUCCACCAUCCAAGGUGCUUGCUCUAACUUGGCAGUGUGAUAUCUGGUUGCAUGUUGCAUAUGGUGUCUAGCUUGUAUUGCCCCUAAUUAGUGUAAACUACAUCUGCUUAGAUUACACAUGAUACGUGUGAAUAUGACACACUUUCCUGUUUUUGAUACAUACUAUAUCUGUCUAUCACACCAUGUUCUUACAUGAAACUACUCUUCUUGUGUAUCCUGCAUCAGUCACUUAUGAUGGGACACCUUUAAGUUGGCAGUGUGAUAUUGGUUUGCGACUUGAAUAUGAUUUCUAGCAUCUAUUGCUUCUAGUUUGAUGAACGCCACCUAUGACGAGAUAGUUUUAACUUGGUAGAGUGAUAUUGAUAGCACCUUCCAUAUGGUGUCUAGUUUGCAGUGCUUCUAAUUUGUUGAAGUGCCUCCUUCUUAGUUACCACAUCAUAGGUGUGAAUAUGUCAAGCCAUCCAUUUUUUUGUACAUAUUCCAUCCUCGUAUCAUGACUUUGCCUUUCAUCAGAGUAGUCUUCAUUACUAUCAUGCAUCAAUCAGUUCUGAAGAGCGAAUUAUAUUCCUUUUUCUUGUCAGUUUGACCUCACAAUGCAAAAUCAAUAAAGCUGAAGGAAAUUGGCAAGGCAUUGGAUGAUGGUGGUCCUUCUGAGCAACUGAAAUGGAGGUUCUCUACAGAUUCUACUCCGCCAUCCUCCCAACAAGAUUUGUAAGACACCACAAGGCUAGACAGUCAACGUAGUUGUGUAGAUGAUGAGCACAUCUCCCCUACUCCACCAUCACAGGUGCUUGGUCUAACUUGGCACUAUUAUAUGUGGUUGCAUGUUGCGUAUGAUGAUUAGCUUGUAUUGCUUCUAACUUUGUUGAAUUGCAUCUGCUUACUUUACACAUAAUGCCUGUAAAUAUGACAUAUGUUCUUGUUUCUAGAACAUACUAUAUAUGAUCACACGAUGUUCUUACAUCAGACUACUGUUCUUGCAUAUCCCGCAUUAGUCACUUAUGAUAAGGCACCUUUAAGUCGCCACUGUGAUAUUGGUUGUGUCUUGCAUAUGAUUUCUAGCAUGUACUGCUUCUAAUUUUUUGAAACGCCAUACAGUUUGAACUUGGCAGAGUGAUAUUGGCUGCAUUAUUCAUAUGGUGUCUAGCUUGCAGUGCUUCUAAUUUGUUGAAAUGGCUUCUGCUCAGUUACCACAUCAUAGGUGUAAAUAUUCCACACCAUCCUGUUUUUCAUACAUAUUCCAUCCUCGCAUCAUGUGUUUGCCUUUCAUCCGAGUAGUGUUCGUCAGUAUCAUGCAUGAAUGAGUUCUGAAGAGUGAAUUUUAUUCCUUUUUCUUAUCAGUUUGACUUCACAAUGCAAAAUCAUUACAGCUGAAGGAAAUUAGUCCGGCAGUGGAUGAUUGUGGUCCUUCGGAGCAACUCAAACAGGGGGUCUCUACAGAUACUACUCCGCGAUCCUCCCAACAAGAUUCGCAAGACAACACAAGGCUAGACAGUCAACGUAGCCAUGUAGAUGAUGAGCACAUCUCCCCUACUCCACCAUCACACGUGCUUGCUCUAACUUGGCACUAUUAUAUGUGGUUGCAUGUUGCGUAUGAUGUCUAGCUUGUAUUGCUUCUAACUUUGUUGAAUUGCAUCUGCUUACUUUACACAUAAUGCCUGUGAAUAUGACAGGUGUUCCUGUUUCUAGAACGUACGUGUACAUGAUGACCACAUCUCCCCUACUUCACCAUGUGGUUGCGUUUUCCGUAUGAUGUCCAGUUUGUAUUGCUUCUGAUUAUGUUGAAUUGCAUCUGCAUAUCUUUAAAACUUAUACCUGCAACGGUCACUUACCCAUAAGACACAUUUAACUUGGGACUUUGAUGUAGGUUUCAUCUUGCAUUGUCUUGUAGCUUGUACUGCUUCUAAUUUCUUUAAAUGGCACUUACGACGAGACACUUUUUACCUGAUAGAGUGAUAUUGGUUGCAUGUUCAUAUGGUGCCUAACUUUGAUUUCUUCUAAUUUUGUUGAAAUGCCUUCCGCUUAUUGUUUUUUCAUACAUAUUCCAUCCUCCUAUCGUACGUGUGAAUAUGAAACACUGUCUUUUUUUGUAUAUAUUCCAUCCUCCUAUCCCGCGCUUGCCUUACAUCAAAGUAGUGUUCGUCUGUAUCAUGCAUCAACCAGUUAUGCGGAGCUAAUUUUAUUCAUCUUCUUGUGGUUUUGACUUCAUAAGGCAAUAUCAGAAAAUAGAAAGGAAAAUAGUAACUUAGGGGAUGUUGGUGGUCCUCCGCACCGAUGCAAACAUAGACUCUCUAGAUUUCCCACUCCUACUGCUAAUGAAGUUGGAGUCCCAAGUCUACAUGAUGAGUUCAUCUCCCAUACUCCACCAUCGCAGGUGCUUGCUCUAAGUUGACAGUGUGAUAAUUGGUUUCAUGUUGCAUAUGUUGUCUAGUCUGUAUUUCUUUUAUUUUGAUUAAAUUGCACCUGCUGAGUUUAAACGUUAUACAUGUGCAUAUGACAUGGCUUUCUGUGUCUAGAAUACACUGCAUCUAUCUAUCGUACCAUGUUCUUACAUCAAAGUACUGCUGUUGUGUAUCCCGCAUCAGUCACUCAUGAUUGGACGCUUUUAACAUGGCAGUUUGAUAGUGGUUGCAUCUUGCAUUGAUUUCUACGUUGUACUACUUCUAAUUUUUCGAAUUGCCACUUAUGACAAGACACUUUUAACUUGGGAGAGUAAUAUUGGUUGCAUCUUUCAUAUGGUGUCUAGCUAGCAUUACUUCUAUUUUCUUGAAAAUCCUUCUGCUUAGUUUACACAUCGUAGCUAUGAAUAUGUCAUGCCGUCCUAUUUUUCUUACAUAUUCCAACCUCAUACGAUUGUCUUACAUCAAAGUAUUCCUUGUUUGUAUCAUGCAUCAAUGAGUUCUGAAGAGCGAUUAUAUUCUUUUGUGUUGUGGGUACGGCUUGACAUGGCAAAGUCAAAAAAGAGCAAGGAAAAUAAUAUAGUAGGGAGUGGUGUUACUCGUCGGGUGAAACGGAAAAGGAUUUGCCGUCGAGAUUCUGCUGGUACUUAGAGUGCAGUAGAAGGUCCAAGUACACCGGCUAAAUCUACAAACACAGUAUCAUCUGCUCCACCAGCCGCAACAUCUUCUUCAACUGUACCGGCAUCUCAACGAGUUACUCGUUCAUUUGCUCCGGAAUUGGCCAGUUCCCAAACUGCCUUCACACAUAACACUACUUCCGAAGCACUGCUGACACAACAGGACUUGGCAAGAUCAGAUGAACCUCAUGAGCAUCAACACCAAGACGGUACCUGACCGAGUCAAGUUGCAGUUGCAGGCUCCUUUAUAUGUACUCUCACAGUUUGAUGUACACUAACAUUUUCCAUAUUCGUUGUUGAACUAGCACCACGGUGUAAGCGAAAACAUACAUCAGGGAUAAUGCUUGACAGAUUAACAAAAUCUAAAGGAGGAAGAAUGGAAAUCCAUUUUGAGGCGGGUUUAAAAAGGCCACAUGAUGCUACAGGGUCAGCCAAGUUAGUAUCAGAGGCAACCAUUGCCGUUAGGUGUCAUGCACAUAUCCUCCCGACGUGGAUCCAGUUCAGGAAUGAGAAAGACAAUACCUAGUUUAACACCUUCCUUGACCAUUUAUCCAUAAGUAAUGUUAUUCAUUGCAAUUAGUAAUAUUGUCUUGCUCUGUCCCAUACUUUCUAGCUUCCUCCUAAUAAGACUCACAUUCUUUUUUCAACAUAUGAGGUUCAAGUUGGAUCCGAAAGAUGAUGCAACUGAACAAGAAUGCACUCAUGUUUUUCAGUCUGCUCUGCGACAGUAUCGGUACCACCUUAGAAAAUCUCACUUUGAAGGCAAGGCUAAGAAUGAAAUCGCCCAAACAUCUCCAGUGGAAUAUAUUACAGACGAAGACUGGACAACCCUUGUUUAACACUGAUUUGAUCCAAAGUAUUAGGUAGGCUAUAUGUAUUUUAUCAUACCACAUAUUGAACUUGUAUUUAUGUUGUGCCUUACAAGUGUAUCUUCUUCUAGGCUAAGUGUUUGAAGAACAAGACCAACCGUUCUAAAGUGAAAUUCUGUAGUCACUGCAUCAACUGAAGAUAUUGCCCCACAGUGAGCUUUCGGAUUUGGAAUUGGUUGCGCAGGCAGCCUUGCUUCAUUUUCUCCCACCAUACUAUCCAUUUUGCUCACAAGCAUCUUAACAGUAUCCUUUUAGCCAUUAACUUCAUUUGUCAUCUUGCUCAUCAAUUCCAACUGCAUUUUCAUGAUUUCCUCCAUUCCAUUUGACUGAACAUUUUGUUGUUCAUUCUGUCUUGGCACUUGAAAUUGACUUGGAUGAUUUGGUGGUGGAUUUCCUUGUAUUGUCGAUCCACUUGCAUAUGACUGAUUGUUCUUGUACGACAAGUUUGGAUGGUUCCUCCAAGAAGGAUUGUAGCUGUUUGAGAAUGGACCUUGACUUUGGGCAUAACUUACUUCUGAAACCGAUGAUCCAAUUGCUGAAUAGAAGGUGCAUUCUGUUGAAGGAUGACCUGCUUGGCCACAUACAUCACACAUUUGAGGCACACUUACUGAAGCUACGGAAGUACCGAUGCAAUUUGACAUGAUACUAUCCAUCUUCUUGUUCAAGAUGUCAAUCUGAGCCACCAUGCUAUCAUUUGCAGACACAUUAUACACACCAGGAUGUGGUGGUGCUAUUGAUCUUUCACUUGACCAUUGGAAAUGAUGAGACGCCAUGCUUUCAAUCAAUGCAAAUGCUUCAUCAAGAGUUUUGUUCAUAAUUCCUCCUCCCGCAGCAGAAUCAACAAAGGCUCUGGUUUGAGUGGACAGCCCUUUGUAAAAGGUUUGUAACACUAGCCAUCUUUCUAAACCAUGAUGAGGACACAUUCUGAUUAAAGAGUUGAAUCUUUGCCAUGCAUCAUACAAACUCUCUCCAUCAUAUUGAGUAAACCUUGUUAACUUGUCCCUAUAUUCAGCAGCUUUUGUCGGUGGAAAGUAUCUCUCAAGAAAUGUCUGCAAUAAAGUCUCCCAAGUAUCCUUCAGAUGUUCAGGCAAGGAGUGAAGCCAUACUCUUGCUCCAUCUCUCAAGGAAAAUGGGAAUAGUGAUAAUCUAAUAGCACUCGGAGAAACUCCAUUUUCCUUGAGGGUGUUACAAUACUCCAAGAAAGUCCUGAUAUGCUCAUGGGGGUCUUCUAAAGCUGUUCCACCAAAUCUGGACUGUUGCACCAUGUUAAUCAGAGCAGGCUUCAAUUCAAAAUUAUUCGCCUGAAUAAUCGGUUGCACUAUUUCUCCUGGUAUCCCAUGAUCUCUUGGGAUCCACAAGUCCCUGAGCAAAGGUACUGGAUCAGGCAUCUUUUCUUCUUCUUGAUCUUGCAAUGUUUCAGCAACUUGAAACCGUAUUUGAUUCUCUCUUCUUCUUCUUCUCAAUAAGGUCCUUUCAAUUUCUGGAUCAAACGACUCUAGUGAAUAUUCAGGUUGAAGCAUAAGACAAUUUCCUGUAAAAGUUCCUGAAAUUGACACAUGCUAGUUUCUCUCAAAACUGCAGCCAAUGUGAGGAAAUUGUUAGUUGCCAGCAAUACUACAUAAUCGACCUAAAAUAAAUUCUGAUCUGCUUCUACUAAUGUGCUAAUGAAAUUUAAAUCCCCGGCAACGGCGUCAAAUUGAUCGUAUGUAAUAUAGCAGGGUUUUUACGCCCAAACUACGGAUGUCGUGUUCUCCACAGGGAUCUAGAACUUCGAAGCACACCCUCGAAACAUUCAGAACAACCAGACAGAUGAAUCAAACAGUAAUGACAACAAGAAAUUACUAGAGCAAGGUAAAACAAAAAUAACAUGCAGCAAAGGUAAAUGGUUCAGACAUCACACAAAACUCAAGCAACCAAUAAAAGAGACAGCAGCUCACAGGAGUAUAACAACUAACUUAAUAUCCAGCAAGUGCAACAACAAUUCAGCAAGAACAAACACAUAAGGGAUCUCACACAUAUAGUAGCAGAAUACUAACAAACACAUGACAAGUAUGAACUGAACAUAUUAUCAGUAGCAUAGAGUAGAUGAUGGAACUAUCUCAAACAUCACAGGCAACAGAAGAAUAUUACAAGUUGAACCACCUAGUUUUCUCACGAACACAUCAACAGUUAACUGAGAUUCAGAUUUCAAGCUGCAGAAUAUUCAGAACAAAAAUUCAAAAAACUACAGUAAGAGAAGAGAGAUUCAGGGUUGUCUCCUGCGCUGUAGAUGUUGUAGGCGAAGGAGAGCAGCAGGGACGAAGACGAUCAAUGAAGCCAAGUUGGAGAGGAUCCACAACUCUGUUUCUUGAGGUUGAAGACGAGGAAGUGCAGCAGGUUGGCGUCGUUGUUGGAGAGGAGCGGUGGAUCGGGCGCCUCCACCAAUCUCUCGGCGCCCUCUUCUCCCUUUCUCUCCUUCGAUCUGGUUCCCUGCUCGUUCCCCUCAAUCCCCUGCUUCGAUCUGGUGGUGGUUGAGUGGUGGAAGGCAGCGAGGAGUUGGAGAGCAGCAAGUCGGCGAUCAGGGGCGGCAUCCAGAUGGAACAGCCUCCGAUCUCGUCUUGUUCUUCCUUCCCUCGAUCCCCCUUUUCUUGUCUGAUUCGAUCUGGUGGUAGGUGAGUCUGGAAGGCAGCGAGGAGUUGGAGAGCAGCAAGUCGGCGAUCAGGGGCGGUAGCCAGAUGGAACGGCCUCCGAUCUCAUCUUCUUCUUCCUUCCCUCGAUCCCCCUUUUCUUGCCUAAUUCGAUCUGGUGGAAGGUGAGUCUAGAAGGCAGCGAGGAGUUGGUGAGAAAAAGGCAGUCGGGUUGAUGAUCUUCUUUCCUUCAACCCCCUCAACUCCCCUUCUUUCUCGUGGCCUCGCGCGUGGGAUCAGUGGCCUCUCGCUGGUCGCGCCAGACCAGCCUCUUCUCACACGCCCAAGCAGACAUCUGCU